rnacentral:rRNA from 1 species
UGCAAGUCGUGCGGUCAAAAUGAGGGGGCUUGCAACGGACGAGCGGCGGACGGGUGAGUAAUGCAUGGGAAUGCGCCCGAUAGUGGGGGACAACCCUGGGAAACCAGGGCUAAUACCGCAUGUUUUCUACGGAACAAAGCGGGGGAUCUUUUCGGAGACCUCGCGCUAUCGGAGCAGCCCAUGUCCGAUUAGCUUGUUGGCGGGGUAACGGCCCACCAAGGCGACGAUCGGUAGCUGGUCUGAGAGGAUGAUCAGCAACACCGGGACUGAGACACGGCCCGGANUCNUACGGGAGGCAGCAGUGGGGAAUAUUGGACAAUGGGGGCAACCCUGAUCCAGCGAUGCCGCGUGAGUGAAGAAGGCUUUCGGGUUGUAAAGCUCUUUCGCAGGGGAAGAAAAAACGCGGAGUAAUACGCCGCGUCCAUGACGGUACCCUGACAAGAAGCACCGGCUAACUUCGUGCCAGCAGCCGCGGUAAUACGGGGGGUGCAAGCGUUAAUCGGAAUUACUGGGCGUAAAGCGUGCGUAGGCGGCCGUCCAAGUCAGAUGUGAAAGCCCCGGGCUCAACCCGGGAACUGCGUUUGAAACUGGAGGGCUUGAGUUCGGCAGAGGAAGGUGGAAUUCCGCGUGUAGCGUGGGAAUGCGUAGAGAUGCGGAAGAACACUAAUGGCGAAGGCAUCCUUCUGGGCCGACACUGACGCUGAGUCACGAAAGCGUGGGGAGCAAACAGGAUUAGAUACCCUGGUAGUCCACGCCCUAAACGAUGCCCGCUAGCUGUCGGAGGUUCCAAUUUAUUGGUCUUUCGGUAGCGACGUAACGCGUUAAGCGGNCCGCCUGGGGAAUACGGUCGCAAGAUUAAAACUC